CACCCCUUCGCCUCCUUACCAUCUGAGAGCAAGGCGAGUGACGGCGAGUACGAGUACACACACACAUACAAAUACACAGACACACACGCAUGCAUGCACACAGGUACACACGUCCUCCUUCCGUUGUCUGUGUCCCUCUCUCUCCCUCCUCGCUUCCAUCAUCAUACAGAGGCGUUCGCACGACGCACCGCCGCACUUCUUAUUUCAGAUCCCUCAUCUGCACCACGAGGCGCCUUUCCAUGCGCACGCACGCGCAUCAUCGUCUCCGUCCCUUUCCUUCUCCGUGUCCUCCUCCGUCACUGCCAGCUGCCUGAGCGCGAAGCGAGCAAGUGCGCCGACUGUCAGUCACCGCCUCCUCGACUCCCCGCUCGUCUUCUCUCUACAUCGGUGGCGGAAAAGGACCCGCGGCACCCACGUCGCUUCGGCUGCUUCCUCGCCUCUCUCUCUGCCCAUCUUAGACUCUUUCUUCGUUGACGCCCCACUCCCCUUUCCUCGUGAAGCGGCCGUAGAUUUGUGUGCGUGGCGGCCAGAGCGUCGCAGAUGAUGUCGGCCGAGCCGCCGUCGUCGCAGCCGUACAUCAGCGACGUGCUGCGGCGGUACCAGCUGGAGCGCUUUCAGAGUUCCUUUGCAUCGAGCAUGACCAUCAAGGACCUCCUCGCCCUGCAGCCGGAGGACUUCAACCGCUACGGCGUCGUAGAGGCAAUGGACAUUUUGCGGCUGCGCGAUGCCAUCGAGUACAUCAAGGCCAACCCGCUCCCCGCCUCGCGCUCCGGCAGUGACGUGCUCGACAACGACGGCGACGGCGACGGCGACGACAGUACGCCGGAGGGGAAGGAGGGGUGCUCGACGGAGCGCCGACGGCAGUACACAGCACGAGGAACCACCGUCCUUUGCGGGUCGACCGACACCGCCGAGGAGGUGAAGCGCAAGAGCCGCAUCAUCGUCGCCAUUCGCAAGCGUCCGCUCAGCGCCGGGGAGCAGACGAACGGCUUCACGGACAUCAUGGACGCCGACAACAACGGCGAGAUUGUGCUGAAGGAGCCAAAGGUGAAGGUCGACCUCCGCAAGUACACCCACGUGCACCGCUUCUUCUUCGACGAGGUUUUCGACGAGGCGUGCGACAACGUCGACGUGUACAACCGCGCUGCCCGCGCGCUGAUCGACACCGUCUUCGACGGCGGCUGCGCGACAUGCUUCGCCUAUGGGCAGACAGGGAGCGGCAAGACACACACGAUGCUCGGCAAGGGCCCCGAGCCGGGCCUGUACGCACUCGCCGCCAAAGACAUGUUUGACCGCCUCACGAGCGACACGCGCAUCGUUGUUUCCUUUUACGAGAUCUACAGCGGGAAGCUCUUUGACUUGCUGAACGGCCGGCGACCACUGCGAGCCCUCGAGGACGACAAGGGGAGGGUGAACAUCCGCGGCCUCACCGAACACUGCUCUACCAGCGUGGAGGACCUUAUGACGAUCAUCGACCAGGGCAGCGGCGUUCGCAGCUGCGGCUCCACCGGCGCCAACGACACGAGCUCCCGCUCCCACGCCAUUCUCGAGAUCAAGCUCAAGGCGAAACGGACGUCGAAGCAGAGCGGCAAGUUCACAUUCAUCGACCUCGCUGGAAGCGAGCGCGGCGCCGACACGGUGGAUUGCGCGCGACAGACACGCCUCGAAGGGGCGGAGAUUAACAAGAGCCUACUCGCUCUGAAGGAGUGCAUUCGUUUUUUAGAUCAGAACAGGAAGCACGUCCCGUUCCGCGGCUCGAAGCUGACUGAGGUGCUCCGCGACUCGUUUAUCGGCAACUGCCGCACGGUGAUGAUCGGCGCCGUCUCUCCGUCCAACAACAAUGCCGAGCACACGCUGAACACGUUGCGCUACGCCGAUCGCGUCAAGGAGCUGAAGCGCAACGCCACGGAGCGGCGCACCGUGUGCGUGCCCAACGACCAGGAAGAGGCCUUCUUUGACACGACCGAGAGCAGGCCACCGUCGCGGAGGACGACAACUCGGCUUUCUGCGGCCGCCCCGCUUUUCUCCGGCACUUCGACGGCUGCCCCAGCAUGUAAAAGCACGUUGCUCAGCAGCCGCUCCGUCAACACACUCUCGCCGUCGUCGCAGGGCAAGUCGACUCUCGUCACCCCGAAGCCACUGUCGCGCGAUCGGACUCCGGACAUGGUGUGCGCUAAGCGGCCCCGCGACUCAGACCGAAGCGGCGAAGACGAAGUGGUGGCGCGGCCGAGUGGGCGCCCAAGCUUCAAGCGCUUCGAGGGCGGCGCCGAGCUCGUGGCGGCCCAGCGCAGUCGUGUCAUUGACCAAUACAACGCCUACCUCGAGACGGACAUGAACUGUAUCAAGGAGGAGUACCAGGUGAAGUACGACGCAGAGCAGAUGAACGCCAACACGCGCACCUUUGUCGAGCGCGCACGCCUGCUGGUGAGCGAGAAGCGGCGCGCGAUGGAGUCCUUCCUAACGCAGCUGGACGAGCUCGAUAAGAUCGCGCAGCAGGUCGCCAGCAUCACCGCCUUUCAGCAGCACCUGCCGCCAACGCAGCCGUCUUCAUCGUCCUUUUAGGUAUCGCUCUUUCUUUUUCUUGUUGUCGGUGUUCGCUGCGCGUUUUGCGCAUGUGUCUCUCACUGUUUUUUUUUUCCAUGUGUGUCUGUGCGUGUAUGUGAGUGCGUGUGCGUUUGGCCAUCAACACCGGUGCUGCCGUGCAGGUGCUUCGUUCGAGGCGCUGUAUGAUGCUUCCGGUCCUUUGCCGGCUUUGGUGGGCUCAAGCCCUCUCUGUUCGUGGUGACCGCUCUCGUGUUUUCGGUCGCCGCUGUUUUAGACUGGGGCGCUCUCUUUCAUCGCUUUCGCUCCCCUCUUUCCGUUUUCGCUCUCUUGUGCCCUCUGCCUGUCUGUCCGUGUGUGUGCGUGUGGCGUACCGUUCGGUUUUUUUCUCUCCUAUCAUGUUAGACGUAGAUGCAACUCCCCUCCCUCCCCCACUGCCUCAGCCGCAGCCCCACGCAGCUGCAGUCGAUGGCCGUUGCUCCUCUUCUUUCUUGGCCUCAUCGAUUCGGGCGGUGCUUUUGUGUACUGGAUGUGUGGGUGCUGCUUCAUCAUCCAUGCGGACAUUCUUUCUGCGUGCCCCGUGCGACCCCUCACUCUCUACCUCUCUGCAUCUGUCCAUGAGCAACGUCUGUAUCCAGCACUGGCAACAACAGUGCCGCUGGCCUCUGUACCAUCCAGCUCUCCGACGCACGUCCAGCUCCAGCGGCUUAGAAACAGACCUCCCCGCUGUUGCCCACGACAAUACGCUUGUGGAGAGGCGGUCGCGAACAAGUCGUUGCCUCCCUCUCUCUCCAUGUAUAUGUGCCUGUGCGUGUGUGUCUGUGAUGGCAUACGUUUUAGCUCUGUCCCGUUCUUGAUGUUUUUAUGUCGUCUCUUCGGCUUCUCGCUCCCUCUCUC
rnacentral:misc_RNA from 1 species